AUUGAACGCUGGCGGCAGGCCUAACACAUGCAAGUCGAGCGGAUGAAGGGAGCUUGCUCCUGGAUUCAGCGGCGGACGGGUGAGUAAUGCCUAGGAAUCUGCCUGGUAGUGGGGGAUAACGUCCGGAAACGGGCGCUAAUACCGCAUACGUCCUGAGGGAGAAAGUGGGGGAUCUUCGGACCUCACGCUAUCAGAUGAGCCUAGGUCGGAUUAGCUAGUUGGUGGGGUAAAGGCCUACCAAGGCGACGAUCCGUAACUGGUCUGAGAGGAUGAUCAGUCACACUGGAACUGAGACACGGUCCAGACUCCUACGGGAGGCAGCAGUGGGGAAUAUUGGACACAGGGCGAACGCCUGAUCCAGCCAUGCCGCGUGUGUGAAGAAGGUCUUCGGAUUGUAAAGCACUUUAAGUUGGGAGGAAGGGCAGUAAGUUAAUACCUUGCUGUUUUGACGUUACCAACAGAAUAAGCACCGGCUAACUUCGUG
rnacentral:rRNA from 1 species